AUGAUAUGCUGCCAUUGUGUAUGAAGCUGAUGUGAUAUGCUACCAGACUAUGAUAAGCUACCAUUGAGAGGAGUUGCUAUCUGCUAAUCAUUGUUGGAUGGAUCUGCUACCAUCGUGGUUUGUGAACCAGACCAGAAGUGGCAGCAUUCGAGUCGAUAGUCGGCCAAGCAUUGCUGAAGAUAACAUCAGCAACAGAGAGGACGCUGAGGAACAUGCUGACCCUAUAGUAAACACAAUGAAAACGGAAAGGCUUUUGAGGUCACUGAACAGUAAAGUAUAUCAUUAUGUCCUAGCCCAUCAUUAAAGUUAUCUUCUGCAGCUUG